AUGAACGCUGGCGGCGUGCCUAAUACAUGCAAGUCGAGCGAACAGAUGAGGAGCUUGCUCCUCUGACGUUAGCGGCGGACGGGUGAGUAACACGUGGAUAACCUACCUAUAAGACUGGGAUAACUUCGGGAAACCGGAGCUAAUACCGGAUAAUAUAUUGAACCGCAUGGUUCAAUAGUGAAAGACGGUUUUGCUGUCACUUAUAGAUGGAUCCGCGCCGCAUUAGCUAGUUGGUAAGGUAACGGCUUACCAAGGCAACGAUGCGUAGCCGACCUGAGAGGGUGAUCGCCCACACUGGAACUGAGACACGGUCCAGACUCCUACGGGAGGCAGCAGUAGGGAAUCUUCCGCAAUGGGCGAAAGCCUGACGGAGCAACGCCGCGUGAGUGAUGAAGGUCUUCGGAUCGUAAAACUCUGUUAUUAGGGAAGAACAAAUGUGUAAGUAACUAUGCACGUCUUGACGGUACCUAAUCAGAAAGCCACGGCUAACUACGUG
rnacentral:rRNA from 1 species